rnacentral:rRNA from 1 species
UACGUAGGGUGCGAGCGUUAAUCGGAAUUACUGGGCGUAAAGCGUGCGCAGGCGGUUCGUUGUGUCGGCGGUGAAAGCCCCGGGCUCAACCUGGGAAUGGCCGUUGAAACUGGCGAACUGGAGUGUGGCAGAGGGGGGGUGGAAUUCCGCGUGUAGCAGUGAAAUGCGUAGAGAUGCGGCGGAACACCGAUGGCGAAGGCAGCCCCC